rnacentral:miRNA from 1 species
CUACGUAUCCCUGGAUGGUCUGGCUCUCAAUAUGUAGACUAGGCUGUCCUCAAACUUGAGAUAAUUCUCCUGCCCC